GGAAACCCAGAGAGAGAGGUCCAGAAAACAAGGCGCACAUUAACGUUACAUUACAAAGUGCCUGGAAAUAUGUCACACAUACUGGAAGAAGCAUGUGUUUAGGGUGUGCCACAGUCCGUGGACCCAGAACCCUUCAUCCAUAACCCAUCCUUCCUGCUCCCCCUGUGCUCUGCUAGACUUCCGGGUCCAGCCCCAGAGCAACCCUGCAAGGCCACUCACCGCCCUGUGUAGGAGGAAUGAUGUUCCUUGGCCCUCAGCCCCCCUGCGCCUCCCCCCUCCAGCAGUACCGCACUGCAGCUACACUCCACAACAGGGUUCUCACUGCUUAGAUGCAUGAAAGUCAAAGAGGUAGCUACUGCUGCACAGGCACAUGACUGUCCAGGGACUACGGACAUGAGACUGAAACCACCUUGGGCAAGCAGCAGAAACAGAGCCCCACUCUAAUCUUCAUCUGUCCUCCUACAGUUUCAUUAUAUCUAUUUUACAGAAGAUCCUCUGUACUGUCAGCUUUGGCAUCUAUUGGUUGCCUGUUUAAAUACAUUGUACAUGGUUAAAUGGUCACAAAUGUCAACAUUACUCAAUUGGAUAAAAUAAAAAAAACAUAUAAAAAAAUUCAAAAAUUAAAUAGGCAGG
rnacentral:lncRNA from 1 species